CCUUUGUACACACCGCCCGUCGCUCCUACCGAUUGAAUGGCUCAGUGAGGCCUUGGGACUGGCUCAGAGAGAUGGGCAACUAUCACUCAGAGCCGGAAACUUGGUCAAACUUGGUCAUUUAGAGG
rnacentral:rRNA from 1 species